GACGAACGCUGGCGGCGUGCCUAAUACAUGCAAGUCGAACGCAGUGGGGACGGGUGAGUAACACGUGGGUAACCUCCCAUCAGAGGGGAUAACACUUGGAAACAGGUGCUAAACCGAUACUGAUGGAUGGCACCGCGGUGCAUUAGCUAGUUGGUGAGGUAACGGUUCCACAAGGCCACGAUGCAUAGCCACCGGUAGAGGUGGAUCGGCCACACUGGGACUGAGACACGGCCCCGACUCCUACGGGAGGCAGCAGUAGGGAAUCUGCGGCAAUGGACGAAAGUCUGACCGAGCAACGCCGCGUGAGUGAAGAAGUUUUUCGGAUCGUAAAACUCUGUGGUUAGAGAAGCGGUAUCUAACCAGAAAGCCACGGCUAACUACGUGCCAGCAGCCGCGGUAAUAC
rnacentral:rRNA from 1 species